rnacentral:ncRNA from 15 species
GGGUGCGGCGAUGCACGCCGCAGGAACGGGAUGGUCGGGCCGCCAUCC